UUCUUCACUUCCAAUCGUUCAUCACCGAAAUCAGUGUUCGCUUCACGGUUGAAGCAUACAAUCACCACCAUUUAGCCUCCGGUCACAGGAAACCAUCGCAGGUUGCCGUUUGUUAAUAAGGGUGUGAACCAAUAAUCUUUACUUCUUCCUCAGAUCUUAUCAAGGUGAAUAAUGAUUCGAAUGAUAGUGUUUUGAAGUUAAUGUUACAUGGAGACCAAGUAUUCGAUGAAAUGUCUUAAUGACAAAAUCGAAAUGAUCAGUUUGGAAUGAUCAUGAAUUUUGAGCAUGAGAUCCCAUCUUCUUCAGAGCUUGAUUGUAAUUUGUCAGUUUGAAGAAUGGUUGAUAAGAAGGUUAGUUUUAGCUCUUUUUUCUAUUCAUUAAUUUGCUAAUAUAGCUAUUGCUGCUACUUUCUAAAUAUUGUAUGAAAAAAUAUUAAAUUUACAUGAUGAUGUAUGAAAUUUA